GCAGCAGUGGGGAAUAUUGGGCAAUGGGCGCAAGCCUGACCCAGCGACGCCGCGUGAGGGAAGACAGCCUUCGGGUUGUAAACCUCUGUUGCAGGGGAAGAAGGAAGUGACGGUACCCUGCGAGGAAGCUCCGGCUAACUACGUGCCAGCAGCCGCGGUAAUACGUAGGGAGCGAGCGUUGUCCGGAAUUACUGGGCGUAAAGGGCGCGUAGGCGGCGCUUCAAGUCGUCUGUCAAAAGCCGAGGCUCAACCUCGGCGCGCAGACGAAACUGGAGAGCUUGAGAAGCAGAGAGGCAAACAGAAUUCCUGGUGUAGCGGUGAAAUGCGUAGAUAUCAGGAAGAAUACCAGUGGCGAAGGCGGUUUGCUGGCUGCAUACUGACGCUGAAGCGCGAAAGCCAGGGGAGCAAACGGGAUUAGAUACCCCGGUAGUCCUGGCAGUAAACGAUGUAUGCUGGGUGUGGGACUAGCGAUAGUUCCGUGCCGAAGUUAACGCGAUAAGCAUACCGCCUGGGGAGUACGGUCGCAAGAUUGAAACUCAAAUGAAUUGACGG
rnacentral:rRNA from 1 species